rnacentral:rRNA from 1 species
UACAGAGGUCCCAAGCGUUGUUCGGAUUUACUGGGCGUAAAGGGUGCGUAGGUGGUUUGGUAAGUCUGAUGUGAAAUCUCCGAGCUUAACUCGGAAAUGGCAUUGGAAACUACCUUGCUAGAGGGUUGGAGGGGGGACUGGAAUACUUGGUGUAGCAGUGAAAUGCGUAGAUAUCAAGUGGAACACCAGUGGCGAAGGCGAGUCCCUGGACAACUACUGACACUGAGGCACGAAAGCUAGGGGAGCAAACAGG